AUUGAACGCUGGCGGCAGGCCUAACACAUGCAAGUCGAACGGUAGCACAGAGGAGCUUGCUCCUUGGGUGACGAGUGGCGGACGGGUGAGUAAUGUCUGGGAAACUGCCCGAUGGAGGGGGAUAACUACUGGAAACGGUAGCUAAUACCGCAUAACGUCGCAAGACCAAAGAGGGGGACCUUCGGGCCUCUUGCCAUCGGAUGUGCCCAGAUGGGAUUAGCUAGUAGGUGGGGUAACGGCUCACCUAGGCGACGAUCCCUAGCUGGUCUGAGAGGAUGACCAGCCACACUGGAACUGAGACACGGUCCAGACUCCUACGGGAGGCAGCAGUGGGGAAUAUUGCACAAUGGGCGCAAGCCUGAUGCAGCCAUGCCGCGUGUAUGAAGAAGGCCUUCGGGUUGUAAAGUACUUUCAGCGAGGAGGAAGGCGUUGUGGUUAAUAACCGCAACGAUUGACGUUACUCGCAGAAGAAGCACCGGCUAACUCCGUGCCAG
rnacentral:rRNA from 1 species